GAAGGUUGUGUGGCCCUUCUGAGUCGCCCUGCGGGGGGAGGCUCCAAACCACCUCAUGCUGCAUUGGUUGAAGACUGUUGUGGUGAGCGAUGAGGAAAAGGCACCGUGAGAGGUGUCAGGU
rnacentral:ncRNA from 1 species